AUAGUUUAUCUUUAUUGAAUGUUUUUGACACUUGUGAUUGUUGUGUACAGGACCCAAUUCUAAACAAAACCAACAGUCUACAGUAAACGUGAACAACAGACAUAUGGCCGCAAGUUAUACACGACUUCUGAAUAAGAGCAGCCAACGUGGACGGUUUUAGAGAUUGAAGUCAAGACAAAUUAAAAGACUUAACGAGUAAGAAUAAUAAAGCAAACAAGUGGAGAAUUAUUCGGCAUUGUACUUUGAUUUACACAAUAUGGUCCAAUGGAAACAACAAAUUUCAAAAACUUUGAGAAAAAGUUUUACAAUAAAAAAAAAUGGGAGUAUACUUUUGCUUUAAAAAAUAUACAUGAUUAUUUAAGGCUACUCAAAUUGAUAAAAAACAACUGACCAGUGUUAAGAGUUGCCCGCACAAGUACUGUGUUAUAAAGUCAUUAAAUGCGAUUGCACACUUUA
rnacentral:sRNA from 1 species